CCUACGGGGAGCAGCAGUGGGGAAUAUUGCACAAUGGGGGAAACCCUGAUGCAGCGACGCCGCGUGAGUGAAGAAGGAUUUCGGUAUGUAAAGCUCAAUCAGUAGGGAAGAAAAUGACGGUACCUGACUAAGAAGCCCAGGCUAACUAAGUUCCAGCAGCCGCGGUAAUACGGAGGGGGCAAGCGUUAUCCGGAUUUACUGGGUGUAAAGGGAGCGUAGACGGCCAGACAAGUCAGAAGUGAAAGCCCAGGGCUCAACCCUGGGACUGCUUUUGAAACUGGCGGGCUGGAGUGCAGGAGAGGUAGGCGGAAUUCCUGGUGUAGCGGUGAAAUGCGUAGAUAUUAGGAGGAACACCAGUGGCGAAGGCGGCUUACUGGACUGUAACUGACGUUGAGGCUCGAAAGCGUGGGGAGCAAACAGGAUUAGAUACCCUUGUAGUC
rnacentral:rRNA from 1 species